rnacentral:rRNA from 1 species
CCUACGGGUGGCAGCAGUGGGGAAUAUUGGACAAUGGGGGCAACCCUGAUCCAGCCAUGCCGCGUGUGUGAAGAAGGCCCUCGGGUUGUAAAGCACUUUCAGUGAGGAAGAACGCCUGGUGGUUAAUACCCAUCAGGAAAGACAUCACUCACAGAAGAAGCACCGGCUAACUCCGUGCCAGCAGCCGCGGUAAUACGGAGGGUGCGAGCGUUAAUCGGAAUUACUGGGCGUAAAGCGCGCGUAGGUGGCUUGAUAAGCCGGUUGUGAAAGCCCCGGGCUCAACCUGGGAACGGCAUCCGGAACUGUCAAGCUAGAGUGCAGGAGAGGAAGGUAGAAUUCCCGGUGUAGCGGUGAAAUGCGUAGAGAUCGGGAGGAAUACCAGUGGCGAAGGCGGCCUUCUGGACUGACACUGACACUGAGGUGCGAAAGCGUGGGUAGCAAACAGGAUUCGAUACCCCGGUAGUC